CCAUUCAAAGUUUGGUACCUUAAAUUACUGCUUAUACCCAUGUGAGCUGCCCAAGUGAGCGCAUUCAAUAAAGUUGGUGGAGGCUUGUUUGGUGUCUCGAAAUUCGGGUCCAUCUUCUUCCUCAGUUUGAUCAACCCAUUUGACAAGGCAGUCCCAGCUAGCCCAGCAGCGAACCCAACAGCUGCAAAGACGGCUCCCUUGUAAACGAAUGUCCCCAAACGGUUCACCAACCCAUAUGAACCCGGUUCGAACAUGUGGCUAGCAGGGCAACUGGCGAAGAUCGAAGGCAGGGUGGCAGCUGAAGCAGACAAAGUGGGUGCUAACAAAUACAUCAGUGUGAAAUUGAG
rnacentral:lncRNA from 1 species